rnacentral:pre_miRNA from 1 species
UAAAUACUCCCUCCGUUCGGAAUUACUCGUCCAAGAAAUGAAUGUAUCUAGAUGUGUUUUAGUUGUAGAUACAUCCAUUUUUGUGACAAGUAAUUCCGAACGGAGGGAGUACAAC